CCACGUGCAGGCAUUUCCCUUUGUACUUCAUUCAGACGAGUCUUCAUACUUCAGUUACAAAUGUCUACAGUGGCUACAGAUUCACAGAUUCACAGAUUCGACAGAGUUGGAAAGUACCUCUAGAGAUCAUCUGGUCCAACUCCCCUGCUAAAGCAGGAUUGCCCAGAGCACAUCACUCAGGACUGCAUCCAGACACCAAAAUUAUUAGUAACAUCGGAAGAACUGAUGAAGAUUGUCUAAUUUCAGUCCCUCCAGAAAAUUUUAUAAUUGUGCCAUGACUCCCAGGACACCUUAAGAAGACAGGAAGGAGUCUACUUUGGUAUUGCAGCCAUCCAACACUAUUUUGGUGCCACACUUUGCAAGAUUCUUGAAGACUGUAUCACACUCAACACAGAAUUCAUGUUUUAAAUUGUAAGGUAUUUCUUUGUUGGGAUCACGUUUAAUUACUCCUGAUGUUCCACUGGUUUGAGAUACGGCCAGUUUGCUUGAGUUCACCUUCAAGGCUUAUAAAAUUUGAGAAUAUAAUUUCAGUUGGUUGAUACUAUAUUAGUGGAGAAAUAGUAAGAAAUAAUCUCCUUCUCCUUGACCUUCCAGCAGCCCUGCUGCUACAAUAAGUGGUGAUAUGGCUUCCUAAGAAGGAGGAGUAGCUUUGGACAUCUUUCUCUCCAUUUGGUAUUGCCCUUAAGGACCACCUGGGAAGGAUACCUCUUUCCAUAGCCAUGACACAACUCACCAUAAGGUUUAUUUCCAUUAAGACAUUGAUUGUCUUGUCUGAGUAAACCAGCAUGGAUGUCAUAAACUUUAUUAGCAAGGCUGUCACAUGCCUCAUUCUAUAUUUGCUGCACUACAGUUUGGAGUACUCCUGGCCUGGGUAAUAAUGUUCAUCAUGUGUCUGGUAAGGGUUACCAUGCAGCAGAGUAUUUCUUGCAGCAAACAGUAAGUCUGAGCUUCAAAGGUGCCUAAAGAGCAAAGGCCUGAACUCACACAGAAUUUGAGUACCUGCGUCCCUGCACUUUGAAGAUUACAGCCUAAACACAGCACUGAAUGCAGCAGUCAGAGACUUUGAGACGUCUCACAGAAGAUAUACUGCUAUGCUCUUUUCUGUCAGCACGUAUUAUGUCAGAGUAAGAAAGAGAGAUACUGUCUUUUAAAGUAGAUGUUAUUCCACAAUUCCUUUUUCUUAAUAAAAUCAAUUGAAAUUGUUUAGGCAAGAGACAGCAUGCUCUCAUCAA